ACAAAGGAUGAGAUUGGGUCCUAGUAGUACCAAAGUGCUCAUAGUGCAGGUAGUUUUGGCAUUACUCUACUGUAGUGUGGGCACUUUAAGUACUCUUGGAUUACGUGUCUCUUGCUGGGGG
rnacentral:pre_miRNA from 15 species